AGAUAUCGUCAGCAGCCAGUCUAAGGUUAGACGGUCAUGUAUCGGAAAUCGAUACAUUUAUUUCAUUCUGCAAAGAAAGAGGUUUUUCUGGUGGAAGAAAAGGAUAAAUAGGAAGUAACAGACAAUUAAGAAAAGAUCAUGCGAGUCCAAAGCCUUGCAGUCCUGCCAACUCUUGGGAGCAGACGAGCAGCGGAAACGUCGUCAUGGCAACCGUUCGCGUGGAAACGUCUUGCACACCCAGAAACACCGGUCCCAAGCCCACAUGAAAAGAAAACUAAUGGGAACCUGAGAAUCUACACCAUACAACUACAGGUCUGGUGGACUAAGGGUUUUGUAAAAUUUAAUUCGUCUUGCUUGCUUCCUGGACGGAAGCAUGCAUAUGGAGCAGACGGAAUCGCUAGUAAGUCCUGGAGAGAGUUGCUCCUUUUUCCGUUUCAGAAGUAAAAUAAUUGACUUGUUGGCCUAAAGGUACGAAACUAACGGUCACACUGUCCGACAGCUGUUGCCUCUCCUGUCUCCAGGGAAGCUGUUUCAGUUUCCGACAGUAACACCUCCAGCAAAGUAAGCAGCCAUCUGGAAGGCACAUGAAAGGACAUUCUUAGAAGUUUCUUAGAUGUCUAAAAUCUUGUGCAGUUCAAACUCCAUGCCUCCCGUUUAUUGCAGCAUUUAGUGAAGAUGAGCAGCCACGGAAGCAUCAUCGUUUCGAGGAUAGCAGAUCAUCUUGUCCCUUGACCUGAACUGGGGGUCAAGGGGUGGGUGGAACUGGACAGCGGCAGCAGGUGACAUGAUCUGUGGCUUUUACUUAGAAAGUGUUGGGCUACUCCCAAGAAACCACUAUCGUUUCUCUCCAUUGUUGAUACCAAUAUUAGCCAAUCUUUCGCAGGCUCUUUACAAGAUCGUCCAGUUACUUUAAUCAUCAUGUGUCCAGGCAGCAGCUAUCAGAAGAUGUCUUUGAUGUGAUUGCUGUUGUGUUCUCUAGUUAUGUCUAGUAUUCUUGGACUUUCUGACUCCAUGUUAGAACAUCAACCUGGAGAAUGGUUGUGCCGCGAAGCGUGGAUGAGACGGGGAUGGAAAUCAUUCUGCUUCAGAUGGUUUUUGCAUCUGAUGACGGCUCCGGCCACUUCUUCGUGGAAAAUGAAGGUUCGUGCUUGGUGUCUUCGCCACACUAGCAGAUCGUGGAGCCAUCUGUUUAUGUCUCCCUAAAGCUUGCCUCUCGAGACUUCCGGGAGUCUCAAUCACUUCCCAAUAGUAAGGCGCCAGCUCAUGGGUGAGUUAUCUCCCCUUGACUCACUAGCUGAGUGUGUGAAAACGUUUCACGUUCAGUCAGUCGGUUCUUGUUUUGACAUCUUGAUGGUGGUGUUGGCUCCAACGGCGCAGAUGCCAGAUUGAAAAUGCUAUCGUCGUCUUUUCGUCGUGUCUUUCUGGUGAACUUUUCAUAUGUUGUGAUAUUCCAAGUGUGAUCUCUCUACUGCCCAACAACAAUGUCUAUCCUCAUCCUCAUCCUCCUCAUCAUCAUCAACAAAAUUUACCCAGCACGUUUCUAAACUUUACAAAUGUUCUGUGUGCUUACUCUUGACUUUUUUUUCGUUUGUUCGGCGCUGAUUUUGGAGUCGUGGUUGUUUGGCAUUCAAAUCAUAACUCCCAUUACCUUCAUUUACAUGUUCAGCACAUGCGGUGACAGCCGUGUGCCGUCCUCUCCCUCCCUCCACACAUCCCUGCCCAUGCUUCACGAGGAAUCAACUGCUUGACAUUCACUCCCAUUUUCCAUCCGUACCCAGAAGACUGCCGAGCUCUGAGACCAGGGUGUUAUACGAUGCCCGUGUAAGAAAUAGUCUAACCCUGCUGGAAGAAAGACCCCAUACACACCGGGGUUGUCGUGCAGCUUAACCAAAGCUUCGAGCAGAUUUCAGGGGAAAAUCAUUUUUGUGUGUGCAAAGUACAAUUUGUUUCGGCUGUCGCACUUCUAGUAGAAGUCAGAUGGUCUCCUGUCUACAGUGAUUCCAGAAGCGACUUGUCAGCAGUCCCAGUGCCAUCAGUUAAUAAACAAACGUUGGACAGAGUAUUUUGUCAAGUCUUAUUGAACAUUAGUCAUCGCUUUAUUAGCGGGGCUUGAACUCACGAAUCACUUGGCGGUAGUGCGUGGUGUAGCAGUUCCUUUAUGUGUCACAUGUGGCCACCCGCUUAUAAUAACUCAAUAUCACAUACAAUGACACCACGACCACUAACCUUUCAACUUUCCUAGCCUUCGUGACAGUUUAUGUGAUACCUUUGUUACAUAUCUUUACUACAACAAGUCUUUGAUUAUAAUGUAUACCGGCAAGUUGGCAUUCACAAAGACAGCGUAGGCAAAAUAUUUACGAGUAUAUCUUUGACAGUUAUCGGUGUGAAAGACGAUAAUUUCAGUCUCUUCGUGAGGCUCCAAGGGUUUCGGAGGGUAGGUUUCAGAGGAUGGGGCUCAGGGGACAGUCGCAAGGAAUGGUUCGCUUGAGAUGGGCCUGAGACGGGGGGUCUCUAGACACUCGGGGGGCUGUCUGCAAGGUCUUCGCCAUUGGCGUAUGCGACGAUUGUUGGUGAGGACAAAAUGACCAUCAUUUUAUUUUUAUUUUUUUUAUUUUUUUUUAAUCAGGAUGAGAUAAACAAGUGUCGAAGGAAUUUUAACGUUGAUUGGUUGAUCUAUUCUGGACACACAUGUGAUCGUGUUCUGUGUGCAUAUAUGUGGUUAUUAGAUGAAUAGGUGGAAUGUGUGUGUAUGUGGCCUGUGUAUGUGUGUAUCCCUGUGUGUGUGUAUAUAUAUAUAAUGACAGGGGGUGAGUGUGAGUUUGAGCAGUAACCAUACAUCGUUUGCGACAGGACGGAAACUGCACGUGGGAGGCUGACGUCACGAGUCGCGGAGAACUUGACCCUCGCGUGCAAGCCUGUGGUCUGCCUGCCCACCCGCCGCCGCCAUCACCACCAUCACUCCUCUACAGUUCCAAGCUGCCUCCUGUGAGACCACUGCUUCUCUUGGCAGAUAACCCUGAUUUUUAUCUCCCCCUCUAAGUACCCUGACGAUAAAGGUGGCGACUGUUUUUCGCAGGUUCUGAUACAAGACUGGCG